GACAUAUUCUUAAUACUCCUUUAAGAGUCCUCUGCAUAGACAUAAAAGUAAAACGCAUUGUUGCUUUUAUCAAGAAAGAAUUCAUAAACUGCCACAAAGCCCUGGGAUGAUGAAGCUGGACAAUCAAAGGAACAGAGGCUGCAGAUGCUGCAUAGAUGUGACAGACUGGAAUUUAACUUCUAAUGCAGGUUUAUUUAUCCAGAAGAUGCCUUUACAUUCCCGAAGGUCUGAACUCCUUUGACUGCUAUUUCUGCUGUGCUACUUGGUUGUUACAUGGCUUUAAAGUAUCUUCAACUUUGAAAGAAGCAAAGGAGAUGGAAAACAACAACAACAACAACAACAAACUGUGAGAGGAAGAAAGGUCAAAGUACUUGACAAGAGUCUGAAAAACAGUGUUUUCUGAAUAAAUACAUUGUUUUCCAAAAGUGCCAGGCCAUGGAAUACGCACACUGCAGGAAAUUUCUAACACCAAGGAGCCUAUCAAAAGCACUACAGAGCUUUGCCACGAGGAUAGAAAACACCCAUCCUAGAAUCAUUUCAGGACCAAAUCCUUCCCCUCUAAGUCAAUAAACACUCAGAACUUGUGAGAAUAUAUUUUUGAGGCAGAGAGCAGCUCUUGGACAGGCUUGCAAGAAUCUUAGUCACGCUGUUAUCCAUGUGCUUAGAGAAGUGUUUUUUAUAUGGGAAAUUUAUUUAAACAAGAGGAUAAAACACUGCAGGAAAGUUUUCUUUCUGUAAAAGAAGCACAAUAGAGCAAAGGAUGGAAAUCAAUUGUUUUUGAGCUUAAAAGAAUCAUUACUUCAACUGAAGCAAGUGAUAAUACUUUUAAAUGCAAAGCUGUCUGUAUUGAACACUUUUCUCCUUUCUAUACCUGUUCUGAAUUUCUUUCUUUAGUGUGCUGAUGGCUAUCAAGAACUUCACACAGAUAAGUAGAGUGAGAUGCUUUCUUCCUUACUACCAACCUCUGGAAACAUGUGAGGUUAUCUAGCACACACCCAUCAUUCCUGCUGGAUUGACAUCAGCAGUGCAAAUACAGGCCUGGAGCAUCACAGGAAGAGGUUAUAGGGUGCUGAUUACCCAGGAGAAACUUUCUUUCUAUUGGGAACAGCAGAAAAACAAAAUCACUAGUGCUACAAUGAGUAAUUAACUCUUGAUACGUGGUGAUGGUUAGGAAAUAAAAAAGAGAUUUUUGAUUACAAUCCCAGUUCUACAUUUCCCAGUUGUCACAGCCUCAACACCAAAGCUUUUAAUGAUUCAUAGGUACCAAGAUUAAAAAGGAUUCACUGUGUGUCAACACCUAUGCAAACAGUGUCUCCUUGCACAGCAGGAUACUCUUUCUAUACUGUCAAGGAAGUGCCAAAGAGUGAAAGCAAACAGGCUCCAUAAAUCCUAACACAAAUAAAGACAGUUACAAAUUGACAA